CUUCUAAGCUUUUUAGGUUCAUGGCAUGUCCAUCACAAUAGAUGAAUGAAUAUCUUAUACAGCGAGAAACUGCUCUAAAUGAAAGAGGAUUCAAAAUAUUUCUGGACAAUCCCAAGUACCCUGUUGAAUGGAUCUAUUAUGAAGGUUGUAUGUGUUAUUAUAACUAGACAUCUUUCAUCCCCCAUUGUAAAAAUAAGUUGUCAAGGAAGUUGCUGAAUAAUUUGUACAUUGUUUCUUGAAUCAACAUGGAUGCAGCCUGUAUGAUAUGGUUACUUGUGCAGAUUUUUGCUUACCACUUGCAUUUAUAUGAAUCGUUAGUGCAUUGCAUUCUUACAUGGAGGUGCUUGUUCUCAUGCAUGUGAGCUCUUGACCAAUGACUUGCAUGACAUAUCUGAUGAACAUCGGUUUUGUUUCGUGUUCACUACAGAAAGUUUUACCCAAUUACUACUGUUGCCUUCAUAUAUGUACUAACUUUCUGAUGUGUUCUUGAAUUUCUUAUAUUGUUUUCUAUUUCAGGGGCUGGGAGGCUUUAUUUAUCUUGUAACAUUGUCAUUAUUUUUAUUGCUAGGUGCAGAUGAUUCCCGAAGCCAUUAUCAGCAACCAGUUAAACCACUUGCCACUUGGUUAUUACAAACUUUAUCAGAAGCCCACUUGCUGCAUGUAUAAUUCCUUCCCUUUGGAAGCACGAUGUUCACCAUCUAAACAGACCUGGAGUUAGGCUUGUGAAUAAGGGUCUUCCCUAGAAAAUGUGUGGUGUUGAAGAAAGAAAAGAACUUUCCUUAUGGACUCAAGGAUUUUCCCCCUCUCGGCUGCAUCAAAUGCUGGCUUGCUAGGUUUUGUUCUUCCUCUUGGUAGUAUCAUGUAUCCAUUGGA